UACGGGGGGGGCAAGCGUUGUUCGGAAUCACUGGGCGUAAAGCGCACGUAGGCGGACUCGUAGGUCAAUUGUGAAAUACCUGGGCUCAACCCGGGAACUGCAGUUGAAACCGCUUGUCUUGAAUACCUGAGAGGGUGGGGGAAUACCUGGUGGAGAAGUGAAAUUCGUAGAGAUCAGGUGGAACACCGGAGGCGAAGGCGCCUGCCUGGCAGUGUAUUGACGCUGAGGUGCGAAAGUGCGGGGAGCAAACAGG
rnacentral:rRNA from 1 species